UUAUCCUCAUUAUUCAUCAAGGAAAUACAAAAUAGAAAAUAAAACAAGUUACAAUUUCAAACUUACCAAAUUGAGGAAAAUGAAAAACGUUGAUCACAGUGUUGGCUAAGAGGAAAACUCUUACACAUUGCUGGUAUGGGAGGUAAAUUUAUAAAACUAUUUGGAAAACAAUUUAGCAUAAAUGAAUGUAAAUAAACACAGGCAUAAUUUAGAAACAAGCAAAUUCUGUGGUAUGGACCAUAGAGAAAAUAUGGCACAUAUGACCAGGAAAUAUCUUUUUUUUAAAAAAAAAAAGUCCCCAAAACAUUUAUUCACCAAACUUCCUAACUCAAUUUUAAGCAAAAUGUAACAAUGAAUUAAUAAUCUGUGCAAGUGCUGACAGGCAUGCAGACUGGUGUGACCUCUAUGGAAGGGAUUUUGAGACUAUCUAACAACAACUACAGAUGCGCAUUUACCUUUUGAGUAGGUAAGCCCACUGCUCGGAAUUUACCCUGAAUCCACAUCUCCACAAAUAAAAAACAAGAUAUGCACAAGGUUAUUCAUUGCAGCAUUAGAUGUAAUAAUACAAGACUGCAAACAUCCUAAAUGCCUAUCUACAGGAGACUGGUUGAAUAACCACGGUACAUUACACAAUUGAGUACUAUGUAGCCAUAAACAAGAAUAAACAUCUCCAUGAACUAAUAUAAACCAACUUGCAGGCAAUGUUAAGUGAAAAAGUAGAUAUGGUAUGUCCACUCAACAGGCCUACAAGUUACAGCACUCAGUAAAAUUAAGUAUGCCUAUAGUCCAGAUCUUGGUUUCCAAAAACCAAUCUCUCAUUAAAAGGGCUCCUUGGAAAAAUGGCUGAUUCCAGGUCAAAGGCAGGGGAAAUGCAAGAUGAGCCUGGAACAUCUUUUUGUGCCAGAAAGUAAGAAAAUGCUCAAAGAUGAAUGGGGGCAUGUAAGAAGGACACAGCUAUAACUGUUAAUAGUAUAUUACCCAGAAUACAUAAAGAACUCUUACAACCCAAUUAUAAAAAGUCAAAUAGGCUGGGCGUGGUGGCUCACAUCUGUAAUCCCAACACUUUGGGAGGCUGAGGCAGGAAGACACUUGGGAGCCUGAGAGGCCGGGGCUGCAAUAAGCCAUGACCAUGCCACUGCACUCCAGCCUGGACAACAAAGUGAGACCCUGUUUCAAAAACAAACACAAAAAACACAAAAGGCAAAUAACCUAAUUUAAAAAUGAGCACAGAAUUUGAAUAGACAUUUCUCCAAAGAUACAUAAAUGGCCAGUAAGCACAUCAUAAGAUGCUCCUUAACAUCAUUAGUCACUGGGAUACCUACCACCUUCACACUCACGAUGUCAGCUGUAAUGUGAAGAAACUCAAAAAAACAAAAAGCCAGGCUGUGUGUGGUCCUCACACCUAUAAGUCCAGCACUUCGGGAGGCCAAGGCGGGAGAACUAUUUGAGGCCAGGAGUUUAAGACCAGCCUCGGCAACUCCUGUCUCCAAAAAGUAAAAUAAAAAAUAAAUAUGGCUUUACAAUGUUAUUCUUUCCAGAAUUUCUGAUAAUUUCAAGUGAGAGAGGUAAACAUUUUUAGUUAUAUGAUCAGAUACCCCAUACGAUUCGCAGACAAUUUAAUCUAUCUCCAGUCAGAUGAUUUACCAUAAAGAAAGCCACCAAAAAUUGUAAGCAGUCUGGAUUCGUGUUUAUUGAAACCAGUAAUUAGAGACAUCUUUUUUUCCCCAGCACUAGAAAGCAAGGUUCCACAUAACUGCGUACUGCACCUGCAUAGAGCCACAUCCCUGGACUAAGGCUGUGGGGGAUAAUCUGCAGUCAUAAUUUUAAGUUAGAAGCACCCAUAAAUUUAGUAUAUAGACGACAGUGAACUUUCACUUAUAGCAUCAACAUUGUUAAGGUCAUGAUGUACAGAGCAGUCACUUUCAAAUUCAUUAAAUUGAUAAAACAUGACAACGUCUUCAGUUUAAAUACUGAUUUUAAAAUGCCCAUAAAAAAAGUGCAAACAACGUAAUCUAGCAGCCUAUCUGUUGCAUUUUUAGGAAUGACCAAUUCAUGGUCUUUAUCUUGGCCAUGUAUUCAAAGUUGGGCUUUUCUUUCUUUUUUUAUUUUAAAGACAAAUAGCAGAUGUAGCCAUUAUACUGUGUAUAAAUGUCAUAAAAUUGUCGUUCACAGUCUACCAUACAAGUGUAUGCUGCAAAUAAAAUGAAUUUUACUUUAAAAUGUAAAGGCUGUUUAUUAUUUGGCCUUUGGUUUCAAUACUUGAAAACCCCAAAAUAACAAAACUCAUCUCCCUUCCUCCCACCUCCCAAAAAGAACCCUGCAGCUCCACAGACUAAGUGACCCCACCUUUAGUGUGACCAUAAGCUCUUUGGCAUCUAUUGAUGACCAAGAAACAUCUAAAACAAUAUUCAAAGGAGCCUUGUUUACAUGUUCCUAAAAGAUUGGGUAAAGAUAUUUUGUUUGAUUCAUGCAAUGUCAUUCUAUAAGAAGUGCUGAUGAACUACAGCUUCACAUGUCAACAAGGAUUAUUCUCAAAACAGAAGGCUUAGUAUAGAAAACAACUUUCCAGGAAUGAAUCCAGAAUGAUUCCAUAUAUAUAUAUAAGCUGUGAAAUUAACAAAAAUCUUAAGAUAUAUUUGUAUAAUAUAUAGCAAAAACUUUAAAAUGAAAAGAUAAAUAACAACACGUGAUUUAUUUAGGAGAUUUUUUGGUUCCAUGCAUUCAGAAAAAGAUACAUAGUGGCUUCAAAUACAUCAAUAAACUCCCAUUUUGUAUAAGCUAAGUGGUGGCUUUCGUAAGGUUAAUUCUUUUUAAUAUAAUAAUUAUUAUUCUUUAACAUCAAUUUCUCAAAAGAUAAUAAGGAGAAAUAUAACUUCAGAGAUCCCUUGGAAUAUUUUGGGGGCAUUUGCAAAGUAGGAGUCUUUUUUGUUUUUCCAUGUGGAUAGCCAAUUGUCCCACCAUAUUUGAUAAUUGACUUAAAGUGCCACCUCUGUCAACACUAAGUUUACACAUAUGGGUGGAUUAGUUUCUCGACAUUCUGAUUCAUUGGUCUAAUUGUAUAAACCUACAUGAACACCACAUGGUUUUAUUUACUGUAACUUGAAAUUAUACUUGAUAUCUAACAAGCCAAGCUUUCUGUCCUUUAUUUCUCCUCUUAUUUUUAUCCUCUCCCUUCCCUACUUCCUUUCUCUUCUCUUUUCUUCUUCUGUCUCCAAUGUUUAUUGUUAUUCUGGCUGCUUGUUCUCUGAUAUUAAUUUUAAGAUCGGAUUGUAAAUUUCUAAUGUAAUCCUUUUGAAUUUUGAUUGUUUAUUAAUUUGGGGGCUAAUUGUUAUACAGGGGAUUCUGUGUCUUCCUAUGCAUGACUAUAGCAUAACUCUUAUUUGGGCCUUCAUUUGUGUUUUUAUUAAGUUUUCCAUUUAAGUUUUUAUAUAUUUGUCCUAGGUACCAUGAACUAUGAAUGGUAUUCUUUUUAAAAAUUGCAUUUACUAUUAUGUAUUUGCUAGGGAAUGAGAAUACUGUUGAUUGAAUAUGGAUUCUAUAUAUAGCCAUCUUGCUGAAGUAACUCCUUAUUUCUACAGGUUUCUCAUUCUUACUGUUGAAUAUUACAUUUUGAAAAUCGUAUGAUGUGAAAAAGGUGAUUUUCCUUUCCAAUAGACUUAAUUUUUUUCCUUUAGAGCAUCCCUUACAAUACUGAAUAGCAGAAUUUCACAUCAGCACCAUGGACAUACUAAUGACUCUAAAAGGAAUGUUUCUACUUCCUUAUCUUUAAAAAUGUUUUCCAGCCGGGCACGGUGGCUCACCCCUGUAAUCCCAGCACUUUGGGAGGCCGAGGCCAGCGAAUCACAAGGUCAGGAGAUCGAGACCAUCCUGGCUAACACGGUGAAACCCCGUCUCUACUAAAAAUACAAAAAAUUAGCUGGGCGUGGCAGUGUGCGCCUAUAGUCCCAGCUAUUCGGGAGGCUGAGGCAGGAGAAUGGUGUGAACCCGGGAGGUGGAGCUUGCAGUGAGCCAAGAUCACACCACUGCACUCCAGCCUGGGCAACACAGCAAGAAUCCAUCUCAAAAAAAAAAAAAAGUUUUCCAAAGAUAUGCUCGUAGACCAUUUAAAGAAGUUGUCUUCUCAUUUGGAUUGCUAAAAUAUUUUAUUGUGAAUGAAUACCAAACUUUCUAGAUUAUAUUCUUCUGCAUAUAUAGAUAUGAUCAUAUUUUUCCUUUAAUAUAAUAAUGUGGUCACUUACUUGGACAGAUUUUGUGAUACUGAACUCACCUUGCAUUAUUGAGAUAAUAUUUUAUUAUGUAGUCUUAUGGUUAAAUCAUUGCUGAAUUUUAUUUUCUGACAUUUAUUUAUGAAAAGUCCAUCAGUGUGCACAAUACAAUUGGUAUAUAAUUUUCUCUUAUUUAGCUCUGUUUACUCUGUUUUGCUCUUAAGGUUAUUCCAGUCUGAUAAAAUGAGUUGAGUAUCUUUCCAUAUUUUAAAAUUAUUUUAAUUUUAUUUAUAUUUUUAUAUUUUAUUAUUUAAGGAUUAUAUAUUUACAACAUUAAAAAAAUUCCUACAAUCCUAUUUUUUGGUUCAGAGGGAUUUUUACUAAUGAUUCAGUUGCUUUAAUGACUUGAUUUAUUCAGACAUUUUUCUUUAGUUACUUCAGAAAUGAAUUAUAUAAUUUAAAAGUUUGAACGAAUGAACAUAUAUAACACUGUAUCUCAUAAAAAGAGAUUGCACAUUUUUUCUGGCACCCAAAGAAUAUUUCAAUAAUGACCAUAAAUUAGACUAACCAAUUAGUAAAUUAUGUCAAAUCGAUAUAUAAUAGGCCAUGAUCUCUAUCCUCAUUAUAAUUAAGCAAAUUAUAAUAUAAGAUAUAAAAUAUAAGGUAUUAACAACAAAAGGAUAGUUGAUAAAAAUUGCCUAUCUACUUUGAGCAUGUUAAACUCCAACCUAAACGACUCUGGGACUGUGAAAGAUAUCAAAACUGAAGUUUGGGACAGGAACAAAUUUUCUGUGAAGGAAGUAUUAAGGAUACAUAUCUUGAGUUCAGUUCCUGAACUGUAGGAACUACUAGCUUUAUACACCCUGGAUAUAAAUAAUUCAAUUUAUACAAAUAUCUUUUUUGUUAAAAUGGGGACAGCAAGUCCUAAUAUUAUGAAGCACAGAAAGUAAAGUAUUCAAUUUUUGAAUUAGAAACACAGCAUAAAACAUAAGAAACAUUAAAAAAAGCAUAAAAUGCUUAUUAUAAUAACAGAAGGAGCAUUGGACAUCACAAAAUCAGUAUUUCUCAUGAGACUCUGUGGCCUAACAUAAACGUCUUAGACACUCUUCUCUUAAAUGUACAGUAGUGGUUUUUCUGCUGACAUAACAGACUAGAGACACAGAAGGACCUUCUGUAACAAAUAUGUAAUAAGUCAUUCAGUUAAUAGGGUUGCUCCUAAAAAAAAAAGAAUAUGUUAUAAGCCAUGUAUAAAGUAACUUUUUAAAUGUGUAACUGACUUUAUAAAAUACUAUGGGAAAUUCUCAGGGGAUUAAAAUGAAGAAGAAUCUGGAACUGGGAAACCAGGUUCCCCUUAGGUUUUUUUUUUUUUUUUUUUUUUUUCUUUUGUUUUUGUUUUGUUUUUUUUUUUAAGUAAUUUUAACUUUUAGAUUCAGGGGAUAGAUAUGCAGGUCUUUGUUACAUAAGUAUAUUGUGUGAUGCUGAGGUUCGGGGAUAUGAACGAUCCUGUCACCCAGGUAGUGAGCAUAGUACCCAAUAGGUGGUUUUCCAUUAAAUCCUUGCCCCCAUCUCCCUCCCUCCUCUAGUAGUCCCCAGUGCCUAUUGUUCCCAUCUUUAUGUCCCUAAGUGCCCAAUGUUUAAGUUUCCACUUAUUAUGAGAACAUGCAGUAUUUGGUUUUCUGUUCCUGUGUUAAUUCACUUGGGAGAAUGUCCUCCAGCUGCAACCAUAUUGCUGCAAAGGACACGAUUUCAUUCUCUUUUGUGACUGAAUAGUAUUCCACAGGCUAUACGUACCAAAUUUUCUUUAUCCCAUCCACCAUUGAUGGACACCUAGGUUGAUUCCAUGUCUUUGCUAUUGUGAACAGUGCUGCAAUGAACAUAGAAGUGGUUGUGUCCUUUUUGUAGAAUAAUUUCUUUUCCUUUGGGCAUACCCCCAGUAAUGGGAUUGCUGAGUCACAUGGUAGUUUUGUUUUUAGUUCUCUGAGGAAUCUCCAAACAGCUUUCCACAGUGGCUGAACUAAUUUACAUUGCCACCAAUAGUAUAUAAGUUUUCCAUUUUCUCUGCAGCCUCACUGGCAUUGUUAUUUUUUGUCUUUUUAAUAACAGCCAUUCUGACUGGUGGGAGAUGAUACCUAAUUGUGGUUCUGACUUGCAUUUCUCUAAUGAUUAGUGAUAUUGACCAUUUUUUCAUAUUUGGCCACUUGUAUGCCAUCCUUUGAGAACUGUCUAUGUCCUUUGCCCACUUUUUAAUGGGGUUGCUUUUUUUUCUUAUAAAUUUGUUGAAAUUCCUUAGAGAUGCUGGACAUUAGACUUUGUCAAUUGCAUAGUUUGCAAAUUUUUCUUCCAUUCUCUGGGUGUCCAUUUACUCUGUUGAUAGUUUCUUUUGCUGUGCAAGAGUGCUUUAGUUUAAUUAGGUCCUACUUGUCAAUUUUUGUUUUUGUUGUAGUUGCUUUUGGGAACUUAGCCAUAAAUUAUUUGCCAAGGCUGAUAUCCAGAAUGGUAUUUCCUAGGUUUUCUUCUAGGAAUUUUACAGUUAGAGGUCUUACCUUUAAAUCUUAAUUCAUCUUAAUUUUUGUAUAUGGUGAUAGGUAGGGGUCCAGUUUCAUUCUUCUGCAUCUGGCUAGCCAGUUAUCCCAGUACCAUUUAUUGAAUAUGAUGUCCUUUCCCCAUUGCUUAUUUUUGUUGACUCUGUCAAAGAUCAGAUGGUUGUAGGUGUGCAGCUUUAUUUCUGGGUUCUCUAUUCUGUUCCAAUGAUCUAUGUGUCUGUUUUUGCACCAGUACCAUCCUGUUUUGGUUACUAUAGCCUUAUAGUAUGGUUUGAAGUUGGAUAAUGGGAUGCCUCUGGCUUUGUUCUUCUUGCUUAGGAUUGCUUUGGCUAUUUGGGCUCUUUUUUGUUUUCAUAUGAAUUUUAGAAUAGUUUUUUCUACUUCUGUGCAAAAUGAAGUUAGUAGUUUCAUAGGAAUAAUGUUAAAUCUGUAGAUUGCUUUGGGCAAUUUAAAUGAUAUUAAUUCUUCCAAUCCAGGAGCAUGGAAUGUUUUUAAAUUUGUGUCAUCUGUGAAUUCUUUCAGCAGGGUUUUGUAGUUCUCCUUACAGAGAUCUUUCACAUCCUUGGUUAGAUGAAUUCUUAGGUAUUUUAUUUGUUUUGUGGCUACUGUAAAUGGGAUUGCCUUCCCAAUUUGGAAACCCAACUGGUUUCCCAGUUCCAGAUUCUUCUUCAUUUUAAUCCCCUGAGAAUUUCCCAUACUAUUUUAUAAACUCAGUUACACAUUUAAAAGGUUACUUUAUACAUGGCUUAUAACACAUUCUUUUUUUUUUAGGAGGAACCCUAUUAACUGAAUGACUUAUUACAUAUUUGUAACAGCUUGAAUAUUACUAAUGUAUAGAAAUGCUACUGAUUUUUUUCCUUUCCUAUUUCGAUGCAUUUUAUUUCUUUCUCUUGCCUGGUUGCUAUGGCUAGGACUUCUAGUACUAUGUUGAAUAGGAAUGGUUAGAGUGGGCAUCAUUGUCUUGUUCCAAGUCUUUUUUUUUUUUUUUUUUUUGA
rnacentral:lncRNA from 1 species